rnacentral:rRNA from 1 species
GACGUAGGGCGCGAGCGUUGUCCGGAAUUAUUGGGCGUAAAGCGCGUGUAGGCGGCCAGAUAAGUCCGCUGUGAAAUCUCGAGGCUCAACUUCGAGCUGUCGGUGGAAACUGUCUGGCUAGAGUCCGGAAGAGGAGAAUGGAAUUCCUGGUGUAGCGGUGAAAUGCGCAGAUAUCAGGAAGAACACCCGUGGCGAAGGCGGUUCUCUGGGACGGUACUGACGCUGAGACGCGAAAGCGUGGGGAGCGAACAGG